rnacentral:rRNA from 1 species
GAUUGAACGCUGGCGGCAUGCUUUCCACAUGCAAGUCGAACGGUAACAGGCCUUCGGGUGCUGACGAGUGGCGAACGGGUGAGUAAUGCAUCGGAACGUACCCAGAGGUGGGGGAUAACGCAGCGAAAGCUGUGCUAAUACCGCAUGUGAUCUGAGGAUGAAAGCGGGGGACCGAGCAGCAAUGUUUGGCCUCGCGCCUUUGGAGCGGCCGAUGUCGGAUUAGCUAGUUGGUGGGGUAAAGGCCUACCAAGGCGACGAUCCGUAGCUGGUCUGAGAGGACGACCAGCCACACUGGGACUGAGACACGGCCCAGACUCCUACGGGAGGCAGCAGUGGGGAAUUUUGGACAAUGGGCGCAAGCCUGAUCCAGCAAUGCCGCGUGCGGGAAGAAGGCCUUCGGGUUGUAAACCGCUUUUGGCAGGAACGAAACGGUGUCCGCUAAUACCGGGCGCUAAUGACGGUACCUGCAGAAUAAGCACCGGCUAACUACGUG